rnacentral:rRNA from 1 species
UACGUAGGGUGCGAGCGUUGUCCGGAAUUAUUGGGCGUAAAGGGCUCGUAGGCGGUUUGUCGCGUCGGGAGUGAAAACCUAUGGCUUAACUGUGGGCUUGCUUUCGAUACGGGCAGGCUAGAGGCUGGUAGGGGCAAGCGGAAUUCCUGGUGUAGCGGUGAAAUGCGCAGAUAUCAGGAGGAACACCGGUGGCGAAGGCGGCUUGCUGGGCCAGUUCUGACGCUGAGGAGCGAAAGCGUGGGGAGCGAACAGG